AACAAAUAUUUAAGUAUAGUCUAUUAGUUUAAAUAACAAGAACAAGAACAAAAAUUAACAAAUUUUUUGCUCUUAUCUGCGCUACCCAAAAGUCUAACUAUAGAUGGGAUAUGCCUAGAUGAUGUAAACACAUAUUAUCUAUGGGUUGAAACUUUAGUACCUAACUAAAAGAGAACUUAGCAGCUAAAACUACUGUUUAACUAUUGAGAAAAGACAAUCUACUGUAAGCUGUAUAUAUAUAUACAUCUGUAUAUAUAUAUACAUGUAUAUAUGUAUAUGAGACACUUCAGCUACCGAAAGGAAUACCAAAAUGAAGAUAAUGCUAAAUAAUAUUACUUAAAAUUUAAUUGCAAUUCGAUCAUUUUGUGUAGCGCUACCUAAGCUAAGCUUUUGUGCCUCUCUUUCUUUCUAGACGCUUAAAUAAUUCGAAAAACUCUGAGAUUUUACGAGUUUAAAAGCAAAAUACAUACAUAGAGCAAAUAUUGAUAUUCUAAUAAAAAUACAUAGUUAUAUGUGAAGAGAAAAUCGUCUAGAAAUUUAUCAUAAAACAACUCAUUAGCCAAGCUAUGUGCUAAAUUCUAGGGCACAAAAACUAAAAACAAA